rnacentral:lncRNA from 1 species
GUACAAAUAGUUCAGCAGAUAAAUCACGAGGGAGAGGUGAACAGAGCUCGCUACAUGCCUCAAAAUCCCUUUAUCAUUGCCACCAAAACCGUCAGCGCAGAAGUCUACGUCUUUGACUACAGCAAGCAUCCUUCUAAACCUCCAUUGGACGGAGCUUGCAGUCCGGAUUUAAGAUUGAGCGGACACAACACUGAAGGCUAUGGUUUGUCCUGGAGCACGUUCAAGCAAGGCCAUUUACUCAGUGGUUCUGACGAUGCCCAGAUUUGCUUAUGGGACAUCAACGCUACUCCUAAGAAUAAGACUCUUGAUGCGACCCAGAUUUUCAAGGUCUUGUUCAUUUGAAUGCCUCACAGUCACUGAUGUAAUCUGGUUAUAUGUUCUGUAACUAUUGAUUGAACUCUUUCCCUUUGUUUUUGAACUUCCUUUUGAUGUUCUUUUUUGAUGUGUUGUUUUGCUGAAUAGGUUCAUGAAGGGGUUGUGGAAGAUGUAGCGUGGCAUCUGAGGCAUGAGUACUUAUUUGGCUCUGUGGGGGAUGACCAGUACCUACUUAUAUGGGAUAUUCGCAGCCCAGCUGUAACUAAACCUGUCCAGUCUGUUGUUGCUCAUCAAAGUGAGGUAUGGCGCAUGGUGUUUGAUUUUCUUCAAUUUCCUUAUUUGCUCAUGGAAGAUAUGGCUGUGUGUAAAGGUGCUUACUUCUUGAACAAUCAUGCUCCAGUUUAUAUUUUAUAAAAUAUUCUAAUCUACAUAUAGUUGAUAGCUCUCAUAUCAUAUGCACUUCCUAUUCUAUAUCCAAAUUAAUCUGUUUUUUCGUUGAUUUUCUGAUAGGUGAACUGUUUGGCCUUCAAUCCAUUCAAUGAAUGGGUUGUGGCAACUGGAUCAACUGAUAAGACCGUCAAAUUGUUUGACUUACGCAAGAUCAGUACAGCGCUGCACACAUUUGAUUGUCACAAGUAUGCUCUUAAAGCUGUAUCAUUUCAUAAUUAAAAACUUACUUGGUAGAUCCAAUUGCUUGCGUGUUAUAAAUGUGUAGCAUAUGCUCUGAGAUGAUUUCUUAGUGUUUUACACCCCUCUUCUUGCUUAUGACAGAGAAGAAGUCUUCCAAGUUGGCUGGAAUCCAAAGAAUGAGACCAUCCUAGCUUCUUGUUGCCUUGGAAGGAGGCUCAUGGUUUGGGAUCUUAGCAGGUUGGUGCAUUCCCUUAAUAUACCGUAACAUCUUUAUUUGGUUUUCUUGGUUGAUUGCCUUGUAGGGUUUCUUUUGAUGGCAUGAACAUCUGGGUAACUUCCCUACUUAUACAUACUCAUAAAACAUAAAAAUUUCACAUAUAUUUUCACCCUGAUAGUUCCCAAUGUGCUUCAACUUCACCUUUACUUGGAAUAGUGGUUGAAUUAGCUAGACCUGAAGGAAGCAAAAACUUGUGUUAUACCUUUCGUCAAUGCAAAUUCUUAAGACUUCAUCUUCUUUUACGUUCCUAGUUUUUACUGAUAAACUAUCAAGAACAUAACUGUAUCAGAUUGACCAAAGCAAUAGCUGUAUCAGUGUGUCAAAGGUUUGUACCGCUCAUAUCACUGAAAUCAUCGUGCAUGUGGCUUAUUGUUGAUAGAAGAUUUGCUGAUCUAAAGUAGAUAACUGAUCUAACUUGGAGAUUGGCAAGACUAAAGGUUCUUUCAGUGUUUUCGUCCUGAGAAAGAUUUUUUCCCUGUCUUGUACACAAAAGUCUUGGAUUGCUUAUGUUUCAAUGCACAUUAUUGGUGCCUGACCCGUCGUUUUUUACAUUCAACCCCACAGCCUUUUACUAUGAGCAAUGCUUUUCAGUUACAUCUGUUGAAGUUUAAGAGUUGUGUAAUUGGUUUUCAGUUGCACGAGCUUAACCAUCUUACAAAUAAAGUAUCGCUUGAGAAUCUAUUUUGGUAGCUAUUUCCGACUAGUCAUCGGUGUCGUUCAUCGCAAUAAACAGUAUUAAGUAAAAACUCUGACCCGGACUCUUCCUGUGAAUGUGUUCAACACCUUAUGAGAUGAUGGUAACGAUGUGGGGUUGGGGCACUGUGUUUGCAGGAUUGAUGAGCAGCAGACUCCCGAGGAUGCGGAAGAUGGUCCGCCGGAGUUGCUCUUCAUUCAUGGCGGUCACACGAGUAAAAUAUCAGACUUUUCGUGGAAUCCAUGUGAAGACUGGGUUGUAGCGAGUGUGGCUGAAGAUAACAUCCUUCAGAUAUGGCAGAUGGCUGAGAACAUAUACCAUGAUGAAGAUGAUUUGCCUGUUGAUGAAUCCACCAAAGGUUCUUAGCGAGCAACAUCCGAGUGAGUGAAGUUCAUGGUUACUCCUUGCUGCAUUAAUUUAGGUUCCCUUGUUGAUCGUUAGUAUUGGCUAAAACCUUGAGCGAGCUGUUCAUGGUAAUUAUGUACGUUUCCGCCCAUUUUGUCACAUGUUAUACUCUUGUAACCAUUUUGUUAACUGAUCCCAAACUUAUGUGAUUUUUUUUGUGACUGAGAGAAACUGGGAGAAACUGCCUUCUAAGAGGAGAGAAAGAUAAUAAAUAUAACAUAGAUGUUUAUAAAUGGGGUGUGACUGGAAUUGAAAUUGGUACUUUCAAUUCGAUGAUUUUUGUUUAUUACCUUAGUCAAACUUAUUUUUUUCACCCAUUUUAUAUUAGGUAGGUUCGGCAAUGAUCAGACUUGGGUAUUUGAUAUUUGUUUUCAAUCGGUAAUAGUCUUGGGUUUGAGUAAUAUUCACUCUAUAUAAUAUUUCGCAUGGUAAAUAUCAUAUUAUAACCAAGUCCGUAGUUUUUUGGUGGUUUCGAUUAUAAUUGUAAUCAGAAAAACUGUAAAAUAUAAAGAAANNNNNNNNNNNNNNNNNNNNNNNNNNNNNNNNNNNNNNNNNNNNNNNNNNNNNNNNNNNNNNNNNNNNNNNNNNNNNNNNNNNNNNNNNNNNNNNNNNNNNNNNNNNNNNNNNNNNNNNNNNNNNAGAGUAAUACAAGAGCAGAAUAACAACGCUCCAUCCUACUCGUUGCCCAGAGCCUUGACUUGAACAUAGGAUAAGUGCUUAAGGUUCUUUCAGGUCAUAAAAUCUAUGUAAAUUACUAAUAGCCUAAUAUUAAAUUAUAUCAUUCAAAAUUUUUAUUAUUUCAUAUGCCACCGNNNNNNNNNNNNNNNNNNNNNNNNNNNNNNNNNNNNNNNNNNNNNNNNNNAUCUCGAUAUAACAGUAUCUUAAUAAAUUAAUCAGGUUAUUUUCUAUUCAGAUACUUCAAUAUCCAUAUUCUACAUAUACCCACAUAACCAUUUUGGGUUUACCCAUACCCUAAAAAUAUUUAAUUAACUUGAAUUUUAUCCUAUUUGACCUGAUGAAAUUCAGCCUGUAUUGAAGCAUAUCCUAAAAAUACUUAAUUAAUUUGAAUGUUAUCCUAUUUGACCUGAUGAAAUUCAGUCUGUAUUGACGAUUAUGAUUGCCAUAAAAAGGUAGUUUUAAUUUUAGGGUUAAUUGAAUUAGUUUUUUUAAUUUGACAAUAGCACCCUUUUUAGUUAUUAUGUUAUAUCUACCAUCAGAUCAUAUAACAUUAAUCUAACGGUCUAUAUUGCAUUUCUCACCUUAGAAAUGCUUAGGUCUCUCACCCUAAGGCCUCCGGCUAUUACCCCCUUCGUCCGGACCGGCCUCACCCAUUCACGCUCCUAAAUGUACCCUCAGCCACUGAACUUCAGUGCCUGCAUCAGCUCGCCCUCGGCGUUUCUUCAUCUCUAGCUAUCACUGCAUUCAUCAUUCACCUUCGAUUCUGAUAAACCACCCAAGAAGCGAAUCCAAAACCCCCCAAAUUCAUUACACCGACUGUUGCAAAAGCGUGGAACACUCAGCCAUCUUCACCACCGCACACGUUGUCCAACACUCCAACCGUUAAAGAAACCCUAACCAUCCCCCUGAUUCCGUAUGAAUUAAGCUUACACAGUGAACACGGGGAAGGGAUAAAUCCCAAAUUGAAGCGGAGGAGUGCUGCAAAUGGGGAAGGACGAUGAGGAGAUGAGAGGGGAGAUGGAGGAAAGGCUUAUCAACGAAGAGUACAAAAUAUGGAAAAAGAACACUCCUUUCCUCUACGACCUCGUCAUUACCCACGCCCUCGAAUGGCCUUCCCUUUCCGUCGAAUGGUUGCCGGAUCGCGACGAGCCUCCGGGCAAAGACUACUCCGUCCAGAAGAUGAUCCUCGGCACCCACACCUCCGAAAACGAGCCUAAUUACCUCAUGCUCGCUCAGGUUCAGCUUCCCUCAGAAGACGCCGAGAAUGACUCCCGAAAUUACGACGACGACCUCUCUAAUUCGGGUGGCUUUGGUUCUGCCAGCGGCAAGGUCAGUCAAUGCUUCAGUUUUUCAUCCCCCCCAGUCUACGUCUUUGACUACAGCAAGCACCCUUCUAAACCUCCAUUGGACGGAGCUUGCAGUCCAGAUUUGAGGUUGAGUGGACACAACACUGAAGGUUACGGUCUUUCCUGGAGCACGUUCAAGCAAGGCCAUUUACUCAGCGGUUCCGACGAUGCACAGAUUUGCUUGUGGGAUAUCAAUGCUAC